GCGGGCGUAGCUCAGUCGGUUAGAGUGCCGGCCUGUCACGCCGGAGGUCGCGGGUUCGAGCCCCGUCGCUCGCGCCA
rnacentral:tRNA from 2 species